CAACAUCAAGAUGCCAACAUGGCUUGGAUUCUGGUGAGAACUCUCUUCCCAGCUUAUAGAUGGCCACCUUCUGCUGUGUCCUCAGGUGGCAAAGAGGUUUUUAUCCAGACAACCAAGGUACAAUUGUCACAAGUUGAAACAACUUUCCAUAAAGAUCAAUUGAGAUCUGGAUUUGCUUGACCUGAUAAUGAGCAAGUCUUUGGAAAAAAGCAUGUGGGGGACUGGAGAGAACGGAGAUGGAAUCCUGCAAAGGACAAAGCAGUGUAGCUAAUACAGCCCUUUAUCUUCUCCAUUAAAUGGUCAUGCAAAUAAGGGCUCAAGUGAGUCAACCUUCUUGAAACUGAUAUGACUUCCUGGAUGGGCUCAAGAAAACAUAAUGUGUGUAAGCUUGAGUUGAAACCCUUAAAUAAAGCACUAAGUUGAAAAGAUAUAUUUAACUUCA
ensembl:lncRNA